UGAUUUUUGAAUUAAUAAUAAAUAUAUUAUGCUACGUUCCAAAUGAAAACAUUUAGGCAACUGUUUCAAAUAUGUUGGGUAUUUUAUUUCGAAAAGUUAUCUAGGAUGACAUGGAUAAGCAGCGCAUGCAGUGAAUACAGCAAAGCACCUUUUACGUUUGAUUAAAAUUGUCUUCAUAGUCACUGAGAAGGGAAGCAUUUUUACAUAGUUGUAUAUUUUUACACAAGGUGUAAAGGAAUAUUUAUUGUUAGAUAAAGGCAACAGUAGUAUACUACUGUUCAAAAAUCAUAAAUCGAUUGAGAGAAAACAAAUUCGGAUGACAAUCUAAAACCGAGGGAAACACAUCAACUACAAGAGAAAAAAUAAAGGAACAACAGAAACACUGAAGUGCAACAAAAAAAAAGUGCAAACGACAGGACAUUUAAAGAAAAAACAUGGUGGGUUGAAUCAGGAUUAAUGGUUAGCUAAAUAAACUGCGUAUAUAGCAAUAUUAAAAAAAACAUCGCUAAAAUGACAACAUUACAUGACAGAAAUACAGCACAAACAAAACAUGACAAACACAAGAACACACUCAUUUCUGUGAAACGAACAAAUGAGUAACAUAAAAGUCGCUACUACAUGUAACCACAGAAUAAUAGCAGUAAGGUCCCUUUUCGAUAUAUACAUUGUAUCGUUGUUGUUUUCUUUUUGAUGAUUUGAGCAUUCCGUUUAAAGAUAAAGACGAUUUUUGGUUUAUUUUGGUUUAUUUUUGUUUUGUUUGGUUUUUUUUUUGAUUUGAGAAGGGUAAUACAAUGCUGAUACAGAGCAUGAAUUGAAAAUACGUGUGAUUUUGUUUAUACCAUGACCAUUUUUAAUCUGAGAAUUUUUUAACAAAGAUGCAGCUUAUAUUAAUAGAACACCAAAUGUAUAUUUCAAACUAAAUGUGAAAAUAUGUUACCCGUGCUAACGUUCUAAAUUGUGACCAAAACAAUUAUUAAGUGCGUCAUUAAACAUUAAACACCUGUAAUUUACAUUUAUCAAGGUCGAAUAUAUGAUACUGAUGUCGUGAUUUUAUACAAAAACAUAAUAUCACUUUACAGCAUUAACAAUACAUUUAUAGUUCUCUUUAAAUGAACAAAAAAACAUGAAUCACCUCUAAACUUAAAAAUGUCAAAUCA
rnacentral:lncRNA from 1 species